UGCUAAUACCGGAUAGAUCCAAGAACCGCAUGGUUCUUGGCUGAAAGAUGGCGUAAGCUAUCGCUUUUGGAUGGACCCGCGGCGUAUUAGCUAGUUGGUGAGGUGAUGGCUCACCAAGGCGAUGAUACGUAGCCGAACUGAGAGGUUGAUCGGCCACAUUGGGACUGAGACACGGCCCAAACUCCUACGGGAGGCAGCAGUAGGGAAUCUUCCACAAUGGACGCAAGUCUGAUGGAGCAACGCCGCGUGAGUGAAGAAGGCUUUCGGGUCGUAAAACUCUGUUGUUGGAGAAGAAUGGUCGGCAGAGUAACUGUUGUCGGCGUGACGGUAUCCAACCAGAAAGCCACGGCUAACUACGUGCCAGCAGCCGCGGUAAUACGUAGGUGGCAAGCGUUAUCCGGAUUUAUUGGGCCUAAAGCGAGCGCAGGCGGUUUUUUAAGUCUGAUGUGAAAGCCCUCGGCUUAACCGAGGAAGCGCAUCGGAAACUGGGAAACUUGAGUGCAGAAGAGGACAGUGGAACUCCAUGUGUAGCGGUGAAAUGCGUAGAUAUAUGGAAGAACACCAGUGGCGAAGGCGGCUGUCUGGUCUGUAACUGACGCU
rnacentral:rRNA from 1 species